rnacentral:rRNA from 1 species
AACACGUGGGUAACCUGCCUGUAAGACUGGGAUAACUCCGGGAAACCGGGGCUAAUACCGGAUGGUUGUUUGAACCGCAUGGUUCAGACAUAAAAGGUGGCUUCGGCUACCACUUACAGAUGGACCCGCGGCGCAUUAGCUAGUUGGUGAGGUAACGGCUCACCAAGGCGACGAUGCGUAGCCGACCUGAGAGGGUGAUCGGCCACACUGGGACUGAGACACGGCCCAGACUCCUACGGGAGGCAGCAGUAGGGAAUCUUCCGCAAUGGACGAAAGUCUGACGGAGCAACGCCGCGUGAGUGAUGAAGGUUUUCGGAUCGUAAAGCUCUGUUGUUAGGGAAGAACAAGUGCCGUUCAAAUAGGGCGGCACCUUGACGGUACCUAACCAGAAAGCCACGGCUAACUACGUGCCAGCAGCCGCGGUAAUACGUAGGUGGCAAGCGUUGUCCGGAAUUAUUGGGCGUAAAGGGCUCGCAGGCGGUUUCUUAAGUCUGAUGUGAAAGCCCCCGGCUCAACCSGGGRACGGGUCAGUUGGAAAGCUGGGGAAUCUUGASGUGCAGAAGAUGGAUGAUGUGGAAUUCUCAUCGUGUAGCCGGUGAAAUUGCGUACGA